rnacentral:ribozyme from 12 species
UUUUUUUUUUUUUUUUUUUUUUUUUUUCUUCUU